rnacentral:rRNA from 1 species
GACGAACGCUGGCGGCGUGCCUAAUACAUGCAAGUCGAGCGGACGGAUGGGAGCUUGCUCCCAGCCCGUCAGCGGCGGCCGGGUGAGUAACACGUGGGCAACCUGCCUGUAAGACUGGGAUAACUCCGGGAAACCGGGGCUAAUACCGGAUAACUCUUUCCCUCACAUGAGGGAAAGCUGAAAGAUGGCAUCUCGCUAUCACUUACAGAUGGGCCCGCGGCGCAUUAGCUAGUUGGUGAGGUAACGGCUCACCAAGGCGACGAUGCGUAGCCGACCUGAGAGGGUGAUCGGCGACACUGGGACUGGGACACGGCCAAGACUCCUACGGGAGGCAGCAGUAGGGAAUCUUCCGCAAUGGACGAAAGUCUGACGGAGCAACGCCGCGUGAGUGAUGAAGGUUUUCGGAUCGUAAAACUCUGUUGUCAGGGAAGAACAAGUACCGGAGUAACUGCCGGUACCUUGACGGUACCUGACCAGAAAGCCACGGCUAACUACGUG